GCCGGGAUAGCUCAGUCGGUAGAGCAGCUGAUUCGUAAUCAGCAGGUCGAGAGUUCGAGUCUCUUUCCCGGCUCCA
rnacentral:tRNA from 1 species